GAUGAACGCUAGCGACAGGCUUAACACAUGCAAGUCGAGGGGCAGCACGGGAGUAGCAAUACAACUGGUGGCGACCGGCGCACGGGUGAGUAACGCGUAUGCAACCUACCUAUCAGAGGGGAAUAACCCGGCGAAAGUCGGACUAAUACCGCAUAAAGCAGGGGCACCGCAUGGUGAUAUUUGUUAAAGAAAUUCGCUGAUAGAUGGGCAUGCGUUCCAUUAGGUAGUUGGUGAGGUAACGGCUCACCAAGCCGACGAUGGAUAGGGGAACGGAGAGGUUGGUCCCCCACACUGGUACUGAGACACGGACCAGACUCCUACGGGAGGCAGCAGUGAGGAAUAUUGGUCAAUGGGCGAGAGCCUGAACCAGCCAAGUCGCGUGAAGGAAGAAGGAUCUAUGGUUCGUAAACUUCUUUUGCAGGGGAAUAAAGUGCAGGACGUGUCCUGUUUUGUAUGUACCCUGAGAAUAAGGAUCGGCUAACUCCGUGCCAGCAGCCGCAGUAACAC
rnacentral:rRNA from 1 species